AUGAACUUCCUACUAGACCUUAAGCAUCUCAAGCACAUUAGCUUGCCGACGAGGCCUGUCAUUUGCAAAUGCCUUCUAGUAGUGAUUGGUCUUAUUGUAUUGAGAGCGAUUGUCUCCCCUUUUCUCGCCAUUAAUUUGUCUGAGAAGAGUUUUUAUGAGCCAUCAACCCUUGACCUGUUUCCUGGAGUUAGGAAAGACAAGUUUGUUGAGGUCCCACAGAUUAUAUGGGGAUUGAACAAUCAGAAGAUCGCAUUUGCCAGGGCAUGCUUGACUGCCAAAUUCCUGAAUCGGUCUCUGCUCAUGCCAAGUCUGAGUGCUUCACUUUUUUACAAAGAGGUUGACUUGCUGCAGCCUAUUCCUUUCGACAAGGUGUUUGACUUCACCAAAUUCAAUGCACGCUGUCAUGGGUUUGCAAGGCUAGCUCGGUACUCCGAGGUUUCGAAUCAUACUGAGCCCUAUAAACUACAAAAGGGAAGUGGUAGGAGGUGGACAGUGGAGAGAGACUUGGAUCAGCUGCAACAGUCCAAAACGGGUGAAGCUGAUGGCUAUCAAGUAAUUCAUGUCACUGGGAAACAUCCGUUUCUGUGGCCUGACCAUUGGCCAGUGAAAAACUAUGCCAAGGUCUUCGAUUGCCUUGCCUUAGCUCCUGAUAUAGAAGCUGAAGUAGUCAAGGUCAUAUCCAAGAUUAAAGAUGCAGGGGAAAAAGCAAGACACGAGGCUGCUAUUUCCCAUAAAAAGAAGAGUAUAGAUGAUGGUUCGUUAAAUCUGCCUGUGCAGUACAUUGCUGUUCACAUGAGAAUAGAGAAGGACUGGAUGAUCCACUGCAAGAAGUGGGAGAAGCGGUCUAACUUGAAGGAAAUCUGCAGCAGCAAAGGAGAGAUCAUUCAUAAGGUCUCACAGAUCACUGAUCUACGCCGGCCGGUUGUGGUUUAUCUUGCUGUAGCCGACAGCCUUCUAGAAGAUGAUUCUGUCACCAGUGGCUGGAGAGUGGGUAUGAUUGCCUAUGAGAAGAAGAAACUCGGAGUUACUGACAUAUACGAGAGGCAGCCUUACCUUCUAAAGUCUGCCAUCGACUUUGAGGUGUGCGCGAGAGCAGAUGUGUUUGUUGGCAAUAGCUUCUCAACAUUUUCCAACCUCGUAGUUUUAUCUAGAACAGAAAGGCUGUAUAAGCUGGGGGUGGAAAGCUCAUGUGGCGAGGAUGUUGGGCUGUCGUCAUAUGCAUACAAUGUUAUUGGAGAUGACGGCGGGCCUCAGAGAUGGAUGACAGAUAUGUUGGACACAAGCCUUCAGCGCAUAAGCUAUGGAACAAAUAACAUCUCCUGCCACUGA
rnacentral:rRNA from 1 species